rnacentral:rRNA from 1 species
AUACGUAGGGUGCAAGCGUUGUCCGGAAUUACUGGGUGUAAAGGGAGCGUAGGCGGGAUUGUAAGUUGGGUGUGAAAUGUACCGGCUCAACCGGUAACUGGCAUUCAAAACUACAGUUCUUGAGUGAAGUAGAGGCAGGCGGAAUUCCUAGUGUAGCGGUGAAAUGCGUAGAUAUUAGGAGGAACACCAGUGGCGAAGGCGGCCUGCUGGGUCUUUUACUGACGCUGAGGCUCGAAAGCAUGGGGAGC